rnacentral:rRNA from 1 species
UGUGGACGGCCAGUCAAAGUCCAACUUGACAGUGGCCAUGGCCCGUAGAGGGUGAUAGGCCCGUAAGGCGGCUGUCCCGCUGUGCUGACUUUUCCCUAUAGUCCGGUUGCUUGGUAUUGCAGCCGAAAGCGCGAGGUAAACUCCUCGUAAGGCUAAAUAUUACCCCGAGACCGAUAGCAAACAAGUACCGUGAGGGAAGAUUGAAAAGAACUUUGAAGAGAGAGUUCAAGAGUACGUGAAACUGUGUGGUGGUAAACGGAGGGGCUCUCGAAGUUUCUGAGGGGGACUCAACCUUGGUGGUGCUGGGCCUGAGCGUAUUUGAUCAGCAAUGACUUUGCGCUUGGUCUCCGGUGCCUCCCGGACGCACUUUCUCCUCAGUUUACGGCAGGAACCGUUAGGAGUGGACCAAAGGCCCGGGGUGAAGUUGUUGGUUAUGCUGGCAGCCCCUGGUGUCCUGGCUUCGCACCUGACGGGUAUGUGAGCGGACUCGUAUAGCGCGCAAUUGUCUGU